AGUUUCGCAUGAAACCAUAUUAAAGUCACAACGGUGAAAGAUGAGCAUGCGUCCCAUUAGCUAGUUGGUAAGGUAACGGCUUACCAAGGCAACGAUGGGUAGGGGUCCUGAGAGGGAGAUCCCCCACACUGGUACUGAGACACGGACCAGACUCCUACGGGAGGCAGCAGUGAGGAAUAUUGGACAAUGGGCGCAAGCCUGAUCCAGCCAUGCCGCGUGCAGGAUGACGGUCCAAUGGAUUGUAAACUGCUUUUAUACAGGAAGAAACACUACUUCGUGAAGUAGCUUGACGGUACUGUAAGAAUAAGGAUCGGCUAACUCCGUG
rnacentral:rRNA from 1 species